AUACGGAGGGGGCUAGCGUUGUUCGGAAUUACUGGGCGUAAAGCGCGCGUAGGCGGUUUUGUAAGUCGGAUGUGAAAGCCCCGGGCUUAACCUGGGAACUGCAUUCGAAACUGCAAGACUGGAGUAUGGGAGAGGGAAGUGGAAUUUCCGGUGUAGAGGUGAAAUUCGUAGAUAUCGGGAGGAACACCAGUGGCGAAGGCGGCAACCUGGGUGAUGAUUGACGCUGAGGUGCGAAAGCGUGGGGAGCAAACAGGAUUAGAUACCCCUGUAGUCC
rnacentral:rRNA from 1 species